AGCAGCCGCGGUAAUUCCAGCUCCAAUAGCGUAUAUUAAAGUUGUUGCAGUUAAAAAGCUCGUAGUUGAACCUUAGGCCCGUGCGGGCGGUCCGUCCUCAGGGCGAGCACUGCCUCGUCGCGGGUCUCACCUUCUGGCGAGCGUGGAUGCCAUUUAUUUGGUGUCCGCGGGAACCAGGACCUUUACCUUGAAAAAUUAGAGUGCUCAAAGCGGGCUCCGACGCUUGAAUACAUUAGCAUGGAAUAAUGAAAUAGGACGAUGGUUCUAUUUUGUUGGUUUCCGGGACCGUCGUAAUGAUUAAUAGGGAUAGUUGGGGGCAUUCGUAUUCAAUUGUCAGAGGUGAAAUUCUUGGAUUUAUUGAAGACGAACUACUGCGAAAGCAUUUGCCAAGGAUGUUUUCAUUAAUCAAGAACGAAAGUUGGGGGAUCGAAGACGAUCAGAUACCAUCGU
rnacentral:rRNA from 1 species